UCGAGGAUCUUUCGCAAUGGGCGCAAGCCUGACGAAGCGACGCUGUGUGGACGAUGAAGGCCUUCGGGUUGUAAAGUCCUUUCGCGCAAGAACAAGAGAAGCACGCUAAUAAGAUGCCGAUUUGAGGGUACUGCGUAAAGAAGCACCGGCUAACUCCGUGCCAGCAGCUGCGGUAAUACGGAGGGUGCAAGCAUUAAUCGGAUUUACUGGGCGUAAAGGGCGCGUAGGCGGAUGAGGAAGUCAAAUGUGAAAUUCCGGAGCUCAACUUCGGAGCGGCAUUUGAAACUGAGCAUCUAUAGAGGGAUGGCGGAGAAAAUGGAAUUCCACAAGUAGCGGUGAAAUGCGUAGAUAUGUGGAAGAACACCAGUGGCGAAAGCGGUUUCCUAGCUAUUACCUGACGCUGAGGCGCGAGAGCAUGGGGAGCAAACAGGAUUAGAUACCCCCGUAGUCC
rnacentral:rRNA from 1 species